UACGGAGGGUGCAAGCGUUGUCCGGAUUUAUUGGGUUUAAAGGGUGCGUAGGCGGCCACCGCAAGUCGACUGUGAAAUCUCCGGGCUUAACCCGGAAAGGUCAGCCGAUACUGCGGGGCUAGAGUGCAGAAGGGGCAACUGGAAUUCUCGGUGUAGCGGUGAAAUGCGUAGAUAUCGAGAGGAACACCUGCGGCGAAGGCGGGUUGCUGGGCUGACACUGACGCUGAGGCGCGAAAGCUAGGGGAGCGAACGGG
rnacentral:rRNA from 1 species